UGUGUGGGUGCUGGUCUGCACAGGAGCCCUGGGCUUGGGGGUGAGAAAAGGCAGAUCUUGCCAAGCAAUGCACCUGGUGCUGGGAACUGCUUCUCGGCCUGAAGCGAGUGCUGCCUUUCCCAAAUUUCCCUUACAGGGGGUGCCUUUUACCUACCUCACCCAAGGUCUCCCUAUGUGCUAAUCUCUAUUUCAGAGAGAGGGAGAAAGACAUUAUGGAAUCUCCUCUGUUAAGCGCUGCCUGCAGCAUUUCGAAGUUAGGUAAUAUGGCCAUUUCACAGAGGGGAAAACUGAGGCUCAGAGAAAUUAAGAGACUCACUCACGUUCACCCAGCUAAGAAGUGGAAGAGCAGGCCUCCUGACUCAGAUCUAUGUGUCCAUCCCAAUGCCCAGGGUCCCCAAGGUUCUCCUGAGUCCAAGGACACCGCUGCCUCCCAGCUCAUAACAAACGAUGCUCACAAGCAUGCCAGCCCUCUCCUUCUAUGAGGCAAUCCUCGGAGGCCCUUGCCAAGAUCAACUGUUUGGACUUCUGCCUUGAAAACUGAUCCUCUUCCGAGUCCGGUUAUUGCUUUUCUGAAACAUGGGGACAGUGACAUCAUCGCUCCCUCCCUGGCUUGGGGAUUUGGUGGUCAGCAUGAAGUCAGGGUUUGGAACGGUGCCUGUUCUCUGCCAAUGCCCAGGGAGGCCUGGGUUGGGGGCUCUGGAGUGAAUUGGGCUUGCUGGGGAAGUCCCCAGAGGCUGGGUGGGGGGUCACUUUCAAACCUGUUGCCAGCAUCUGGGUCUGCCUUGCAGUCCCCAGGAUGAGCAGCAUUCUGAGGAGGGCUGAACUGAUGGUCGGUGGAUACACACCUGCCCGGUCAUACCCAUUGUCAGGCUAUUGAAAUACUUUCAUCUCAUUGGUAGUCAUUUACCGGGAAGACUUCCUGCCACCUUAGCUGUACUGGCUUCUCCCCUGGGCCACCUCUCCAUAACUCCUACCAUCUAACACCUGUAGGGACCUGUCCAACAGUACUCUGAUUGUUGGUGCCCUGCACCACACCCAUGGAUAAAGAUUUCGGCGAUGACUCCAGGAUCGGAGUGGAGCUGUGAGAACUUGGGCUGGGCCUUUGGUCGCUGGGCACCUGCUGGAAGGCACUGCCAUGUGGAAAGAGGCAAGGUCCACAUCUAAAGUUCCCAGGUCUGGGCCCUGCCAACAGGAAUUCUCUCCUGCCACGGUGGGACCCAUUCCUUGCACAGUCACCGGUUAGCAUUUCCUUGCCAGAGGCUGAAAGGCAUCUCAGGGGUAUUCUAGUCCUGCCCGCUAAUUGUACAAGGAGACUCUGCAGCUCAGAAAGAGGAUGUCACUUGCUCAAGUCAAAUAAGCUGGUGACUGACCUAAGCCUUCUGCCUACCCUCUAGGUCAUGAUUCUCAAGGCACACAAAGAUCCUGGCUUCAGAGACCAUGAAGACAUUCUAAACCUUCUCCUAUCACUUGCCCGCUGCCUUUCUAUGCCCAGGGUUGGUUUAUUGGCAUACCCAGCACUUUCUCUAGUUGGGUGGAUUUUAGAAUUAGCUUCAGCAGGGAGCCCGUCACAGUCAUGUCACUCCAUAACCUGGCAUGCACCUAGGUAGGAACCUCAGUCUGGCAGCCCACAGGCUGAAUGUGGACGGAUUUCACUGGGACCACCCAGUGUUGUUGAUUUUUCUUUCUAAUGGAAUAGAUUGCCCACACUUAGAAAGUGAGGGAUUUCAUACAAAACUGUGGAUAUGGGGCUUUUUGGAACAAUGGUUAGAUCCAGCCAUCCAUGUGCCACGUUUCUGCAGGCAAGACCAGCUCCCUAUAAAUGGGACAGAUGCUCUAGUUUGUCACCAACCACCCCUUUCUCCCAGCUGGCUUUGGUCCUUUGCUGGCCUGAAGGCACCCAAGUUUGCCAUCCCCAGCCCAGAGUUAUCUCAGUACAUGACACGGCCUUGCUUUUUGUUUCUUGGAAAAGUUGUGGUCCAGACGGAAUAAAUAGACCACUUUAGCAUCCUUCUUCUUUCUUCACACAUUCAGGCCAUUUUGGAUAAGGGAGAUGUUUGGGGUCUCAGGCUUAUCACAGGGACAGUCAUUGGUUGACCACCUGGCUGUGACUUCCAAGACUCCUUCCUUCUGCUCUUCCCACCUCUUCCCCUGACAGUGCCAUGAUCUCCAACCAGGCUACCCAACUCCUGACAUUCCAUGGCUGAGCUUUGGACUGAGUUGUGCAGAUGCUUACUGAGCACCUGCAAUGUUGACGCCAUGUGAGGAUUCAAGCAAGAGCAAGACACAUUUUUGGAUGCUUAGUCUUAAGGAUCUAAGUCUUCUUGUGCACAACAGAUAAAGAUAUCGAUAACCGUAUAUUGAAGACCAUUACUGGAAGUGAGGGGAGAUGAGGAGGAAGAGGCCCUGGAAGGACAUCUGGGACUGGUGGGAACAGCAGCUGGAUUACCUGCUCCUGCCUGGGGAUUUCUCUACAUUCCCAAGCUGGUGCUGACAAAGUGCAGCCCCAAAGAGGCUGGGCCAGAGAGAUUGGAAGAAGAGCUCUCAGGGGACUCCCACAAUUCCUCUGACAAUAAAAUGAGACAGAGAGGUUAAAAGUCAUUUAAAUUUGGCCGGGCGUGGUGGCUCAUGCCUAUAAUCCCAGCUACUCCGGAGGCUGAGGCAGGAGAACUGCUUGAACCUAGGAGGCAGAGGUUGCAGUGAGCUGAGAUCAUGCCAUCGCACUCCAGCCUGGGGCACAAGAGCGAGACUUCGUCUAAAAAAAAAAAAAACCUCACUCAAAUCUUUAGUUACAAGCUGGAAGAUGCCGGGCUGUUCCCCCUGUAAGCUGUGCUGGCCGCUGGUCAUGCUUCCUGUGGUGUGCUUUCAAUUUCCCUCGUUGUAACUGAAAAGUGGGGGCCUUUUCUCUGAAGGAAGAGGCUGUGGUCUCCCAGGUGCCCUGUUGGGCUCUUUAGGGAGGGACUUAGACCCAGGAGGGCUCCUAGACCUGGGCAGGUAGAAUUGCUCCGCCUGAUAGAAAGAGAACCUGGAGCUCUCCAGGCAAGCUGGGCAGGUUUAUGAGCUCGGAGCCUGAGAGGUGAAAGGUGAAGCUCCUCCCCUUCUGCUCUGACCCUGUCGUGUGUGCUCCCCAAAUAUUUGGUGAAAUCCAUCCCACUCAGAAAUCGCUUUGGAUUUGAGCGUGGGAUCUGGGUCAGUGAUAGCAACAGAGCAGCCCUCGAGGUAGGAACAGAGGCUUCCCCAUCCUCUAGGAAUUUGCAUAAAUAUACUAGGAGAUUGUGAAAUGAAUGAAAGUCCAAGAAAAUCACAUCUAGAUCUGUGAGGCAAGGAGAGAGGCCCAGAUGCCAUCUGGGUAACAUAUGGGAAAGUGUUUGCAAACUUUAACCACUACGUAAUGCAAAGAAUCAUUUGCUAUCCUUGUUAUAUACAAAAAUCUUCAUCAAAAUGUUUGCAUUGAGCAGUUGAACCUAAUGAUGAAAGAGGCUUGCAAGAGCAGGCUGGCCGGGUCAGCCCUGGGACAGCCAGCCCAGGCUUUCUCAGGCAGGCGGCACGGUGUGGACGAGAGGUUGGUGGGCAGGGAUUGGCUUCCUGGGUCCAAACACCUCCUUUUUCUCUUACUAUCUUUCUUGUCUUUCACAGGUUUAUUUAAACGCUUUAUAAACUUUUUUCUUUGUAUUUUGCCAGAGCCAUCCCCUGGGAGCCUCUUUGCAAUCUUCCUUCUCGUCCAGCUCCCAGUAUAAGUCACCUCCUUCAAAGCUCUUUGAAUCCUGAUGGUGCCCUUGACUGGGAGAGGCCACAUAGUGGGGUGGUUAAGAGCAUGUACCCUGGAGGGGAACAGAGCUGGAUGAUCAGGGCCAGGACUAGGGUAAGGAGGGUGAGACCUGAAAAUUAAAUAAAAAUGAAAAUGAAAUGAGAUGAAAAUUAAAUAAAAA